CGUGCCUAAUACAUGCAAGUCGAACGGUCUUUCUAUGGGAAGCUUGCUUCCACUGAGAAGAUAGUGGCGAACGGGUGAGUAACACGUGGGUAACCUGCCCAUAAGAGGGGGAUAACAUCCGGAAACGGGUGCUAAUACCGCAUAGUUUUCUUGAUCGCAUGAUCGGGAAAGGAAAGACGGCCUUUGUGCUGUCGCUUAUGGAUGGACCCGCGGCGUAUUAGUUAGUUGGUGAGGUAACGGCUCACCAAGACGAUGAUACGUAGCCGACCUGAGAGGGUGAUCGGCCACAUUGGGACUGAGACACGGCCCAAACUCCUACGGGAGGCAGCAGUAGGGAAUCUUCCGCAAUGGACGAAAGUCUGACGGAGCAACGCCGCGUGAGUGAAGAAGGUUUUCGGAAUCGUAAAACUCUGUUGUCAGAGAAGAACAAGUUGGAGAGUAACUGCUCCAGCCUUGACGGUAUCUGACCAGAAAGCCACGGCUAACUACGUGCCAGCAGCAGC
rnacentral:rRNA from 1 species